rnacentral:snoRNA from 1 species
AUUUGAUGAUGUGGACAUUAUAUUUGUAACUCCCCAAAUCUUUCCCAAGCUUCGAAGAAUUCCUCAGUAUGCUUUUGUCUAAAAGUUUGGAUCUUGUUUCUUAACCC